UACGGAGGGUGCGAGCGUUAUCCGGAAUUACUGGGUUUAAAGGGUGCGUAGGCGGCUAUGUAAGUCAGGAGUGAAAGUUUGCGGCUCAACCGUAAAAUUGCUUUUGAUACUGCAUGGCUAGAAUCAGGAUGAGGUUAGCGGAAUGUGGCAUGUAGCGGUGAAAUGCAUAGAUAUGCCAUAGAACACCAACUGCGAAGGCAGCUGGCUAGACCUGCAUUGACGCUGAGGCACGAAAGCGUGGGGAGCGAACAGG
rnacentral:rRNA from 1 species